GCAAAAGAGGAGAUACUAGAUAAGGAAUCCAGCAAUGAUGUCCAAGAUGGUAGUCCAAGAAAGACUAGCUCUGAGUCUGAGAAGGCAGAACUUGCAAGGCAGAUACUUUUUAGCUUUAUUGUGAAUUCAGUUCAGCAUAAUGUUGAUACUGGAAGCGAGCCUUUAGCCAGUGAGAAGAAGUUUGAAAGUUUUGAAAGUUCUUCAGAUGCAAUUGCAAAUGACAGUGCAAUCAUAGAAAUUCUCUAUGGAAAUGAAGGAAAGACAGAACAGGUUACUCAGUCGAAUGAUAACAAGCAGUCAAAAACAAUCGAUGUAAAUAAAGAUAAAAAUGGUGAUGGUGAAGGAUUUAUUGCAGUAACAAAGAGGAGAAGAAACAGGAAGUUCACAAAUGGAGUAACCGGGUUGUACAAUCAACAGUCGAUCUGUGCUUCUGUUCGUUGAAGAUAGAUAGGAAAAAGCAGAUAUGAAAAGAAGAAAAAUCACUGGAAAAGGUGAUGAUCAUGUUAUUCAGUUCUUGUACUCCUGACUAGAAAUAGUUGAAGUGUAAUCCAACAAGAGCUGGAAACAUCUCCUCUUGAUUUCCAAGAUCUUGAAAUUUUCAUUUUAUAUAUCUACUAUAAUAAAAUAUUC
rnacentral:misc_RNA from 1 species